rnacentral:lncRNA from 12 species
GUGAUUGAGAGCCAGCUGAGGAAGAAGAUGGAAGAGGUGAAGGAGCUCUUUUCUGAGACCAGUGAUGUUUUUAGUCAGCUGGAAGCUGCCAAGGGGAAGGUGGCAUCUGAUAUUGCAGAUCACCUGUCCUCCAUUCAGACUAUUACAAAUGCACUGACCACAUCUGAGAGCCCUCUGGUCCUCAAAACAAUCCAGGUGAAUGUUUAUGCUUUAAGACUAAGCUGAGAACAGAUUCAAAUGCAAUGCAGCAGUGUAGUGAAGUUCAGUUUUGGCACGUUUUGAUCUACAUGUGUACAGUGCCUCUGUCACAUGCUGUACUUGUUUUUUUUUUAAUCUAUUUAAACCUUCAAUCAGUUCACCUAAAUAUUUUUUUGAUGAGCUAACCCUUUAAUGCAACCAUUCUGGCUGGCAGGGCUUAUCGGAGCAGUUGCAAGCGGAAGCAGGGCAGGCAGAUGCAUUACUGCAGCAGAUAAGUCUUCUGGCCAGCAUUGCAGGUCUAGAAAACCUGCAGACGCUGGCUGAAGAUGGAGCUCACCUUCGAGAACGCAUCUGCAUGGCCAGAGAGCUGGUCAUAGAGAAGAGAGAGCAAGCAAUUAACCCCAAUAGACCUGAAAAUCAAAUGGUCCAAGACCCUAAGCACAUCAAGCCCUUGAUUGAAAAAACAGAAGAUGCUGCGCCAGAGAUACAGUCUGAAACUAAUGGUAAAACAGAGGAACAGUCAAAGACACAAGAUGAGCUGAAGGACUUCAAAGAGCAGGCCUGCAGCUGGGCCAGUGAACUGCAUCUGAAGGUUUCUGAGGAUGUGAACAGAUGGGUAACACCUGAGGAGAAACUCACAGCAGUGCAGGAUGUGUGUGUUGAUCUUGGUCAGAGUAUGACUGAGGAGCUGAAGUGUGCAAUGUUAAUACAACAGAGCCACGAGGGUCUGGACUCUCUACAGGGUCGGAUAGAGGGCAGCUCUAAUGACUCAAAUGCAUUAAAGACUGUAGAGGAAGUGGAAGGAAACCAUCUAGAGGUUGAGAAACUGUCUGAGGUCCUGCAGACAAGCUGUACUCCAGAGGGUCAGACCUCUAUCUCUCAAGAAUCUCAAACAUUGUUUGGAAAGACGCCAGCCCUGAGGAAGAUCUUGGAAGAUGAGAGGACUCCGGAAGGCAACUCUGAUCCAGAUCAAUGUUCCAUUCAGUGCAUCGAGCCUCAGCAGCCUGGAGUGUCCACAGAGGAGCUCCAGUCAGUUCAGGUUGCCGCUGACAGUGAAGUGGAUGACAUGGAUCGUAUGAAUGUAAAAUUCUUGCCCACAAAUGAAGUUAGUGAAACAGAAGAUCAAUCACCUUGCUCAGAACAACAAGCAACCAAAGAUCUUGGGUACCUUCCAUCAGGCCACGACUCAAAUAAGCAGCUGCUCAUGUCUGGAUCUAAAGAGAUAGAUAAAACUGGAUCUAUUUUAAGAGAAGGUGACAGAAAAUCCACUCAUGGCUCAUCCUGUGAAUCAUUCAAGCCUGUCUUUACCAUAGUGCUGGACUCUGAUCUUACCAAACCCAACCAGAACCCACUAACACAAGUCAUUCAAGCUUCUUCAGCUAAAUGGGAUACUGUUUCAGUUUUUCAUGAUAGGACCGCAGAGACAUCAGCGGAUGGCUUGAAACACUUGGAAGUCAAACCAAAUGUUGAUUUAGCUGUGGAUGAAGAACAUGAUGCAAUAAGCUCUUCCGAUGAACCUAUACAUUUAUGUGCUGAUCUUUCAAAAUCAGAAGUGCAGUUCAAAGAAAACAGCCACACCGAUAACAUUGAACCCACUCGUUCUGAUCUAGACCUUGAUUUCAGGCCUAAACCAGAGAAGGACUCGUCUACUCAAGCAUUUGACCCAAUGCUUUCAUACCCAGAGAAGCAUCAAGGAAGCUCUGGAACUGCGAAGAAAGUAUUUACCAUCAUCCUAGAUGUUGAUACUCCUGUAUUAUCAUCAGCCAGGUAUCAAUCACUGCAAGAGACACAGUGUACAGGUCCUGAAGACUCAACCACAGAUGAAUUCUCCCAUUCAGAUGUAAAAAAUCAACAGAGGAUCUCCUCUGGUACUGAGAAACCUGAAGGCCAAAUGGCUGAAGUAGAUUUAUCAGAAGAGUCCAAUGUGAUAUCAAGAAGCUCUGAAAUACAGCCAGGACAUAAGGCAGCUACGCUUAUCCAACCCCAAACCCCUGAGAUCAUGGAGAUUGAUGUUCAAAUAGAUGAAAAAGAGAAGCAACAUGAAGUCACUGAUGCAGAAACAUCAAGCCAAAUGGAUGUCCACACUGGAGAAGGCAACGAGUCAGGGUCUGUAGUUCACCAACAGGAUGUCCCAGUGUUGGAGAGUGAUGAUGAGGAUGACAAAAACACCAUUGAAGAGGCUUCAAAUGAAGCAAAACCCCUUCAAAAGCCUCCAAAAGUUGCUAAAGGUAGGAACAAGAACAGAAAACCAGCUGGUGUAGAAAAAGCAAGCAAUGUCAGUAAUAAAAAGCUGAGCAAAUGUAAAUCUAAACAUAAGAGCACAGCUGACUCAGAAAGCCUUCAAACUUCUGAGGUCAGGUUGCCGGACACCACAGAUACUUCACUGACUGUGUCUUCAGACUUUAGUCAGCCAAUCACUGCAAAACCAUUGAUCACACAAGACAAACUAACAGUGGACACUGUGCAGAAAGAGACCUUGAAUCAAACUGAGACAGAGGAUGGACAUUUUGAAAAUGUUAGCAUCUCUCUUGCCGGAGAUGGCCAUAUUAGUACCAUAGAUAGUGUGAUUUUAGCAACAGUGGAGUCUGUGCGGUCAACACAUAAAGAGGACUCAGAAUUAACGCCAACAGAUUUUUCAUCUGUUGUGACAGCUGACUGUAUAACACAAAUUCCUACCGCAGUCCUAUCAGAGUCACAACUCAGCCAUGCUGAAGCUCGGAGGACAGAGGAUUCAGAUGGCAGUUUCCCUUUGCAGUAUGAAGAAAUGCACAGAGUCAAUUCACAUCCAUCUGCCGGGAACAAAACACCCCAAAGCAGAGGAUCAGUACCAGACGGUGAGGAUAAAACGAGGCAUGUGGAGCAGCCUACUGGAACACAUGUGUGGGCCGUUUUACUGAACACCAUCACUAAUGUUCAGCCGCUACUGAUGACCAGUCACAGUUCUGAGGAAUCUAGACCAAGGAAAGAUUCCGUGUUUCAGAAUGCAUCGCUUUUAGAAUCUGAGAGCACUCUGGCAUGGACUGUCCUGUGGGUGUUCAGAUGUCGGUACCGACCGGCCCAACUCCGCAUUGAACAUAUGACUCAACAGCUGGAAGAAGCUGAGAUCUGCCGGCAGUAUGUCUUGGAGCAGGUGGCUAGACUGCCACAAAGUGAAUCUAGUGCAGGAUGCUCUUCAAAGCCUGAGCAGACCAUAGAGGGCAGAUGGAAAACAGUAUUGAUGGAUACCUCAACUAUGGUGGAGUACAAAAAGACACAGCUCCAGCAGGUCACACAGUACCACCAGCAAAAACGGGCUCUCGUGGAUACUCUACACGACCUGGAGGCUGAGCUCAGCACACUGACACAGUGA